rnacentral:rRNA from 1 species
UACGGAGGGUGCGAGCGUUGUCCGGAAUCACUGGGCGUAAAGGGCGCGUAGGCGGCGCGGGGAGUCAACGGUGAAAGCUCGGCGCUCAACGCCGAGUCGGCCGUCGAUACUCCCGUGCUCGAGCACUGUAGAGGCAGGUGGAAUUCCGGGCGUAGCGGUGGAAUGCGUAGAGAUCCGGAAGAACACCGGUGGCGAAGGCGGCCUGCUGGGCAGUAGCUGACGCUGAGGCGCGACAGCGUGGGGAGCAAACAGG